rnacentral:rRNA from 1 species
AGGAUGAACGCUAGCGGCAGGCUUAAUACAUGCAAGUCGUGGGGCAGCAUGAGUAGCAAUACUUGAUGGCGACCGGCAAACGGGUGAGGAACACGUACACAACCUUCCUCAAGCGGGGAAUAGCCCAGAGUAAAUUUGGAUUAAUACCCCAUAAUAUAUUUGAUAAGGCAUCUUAUUAAUAUUAAAGCUUCGGCACUUGAUGAUGGGUGUGCGGCUGAUUAGAUAGUUGGCGGGGUAACGGCCCACCAAGUCUACGAUCAGUAGCUGAUGUGAGAGCAUGAUCAGCCACACGGGCACUGAGACACGGGCCCGACUCCUACGGGAGGCAGCAGUAAGGAAUAUUGGACAAUGGACGAAAGUCUGAUCCAGCCAUGCCGCGUGAAGGAUUAAGGUCCUCUGGAUUGUAAACUUCUUUUAUAUGGGACGAAAAAAGGGCAUUCUUGUUCACUUGACGGUACCAUAUGAAUAAGCACCGGCUAACUCCGUG